AUUGAACGCUGGCGGCAUGCCUUACACAUGCAAGUCGAACGGUAACGCGGGGCAACCUGGCGACGAGUGGCGAACGGGUGAGUAACGCAUCGGAACGUGCCCAGUAGUGGGGGAUAGCCCGGCGAAAGCCGGAUUAAUACCGCAUACGACCUACGGGUGAAAGGGGGGGAUCGCAAGACCUCUCGCUAUUGGAGCGGCCGAUGUCAGAUUAGGUAGUUGGUGGGGUAAAGGCCUACCAAGCCGACGAUCUGUAGCUGGUCUGAGAGGACGACCAGCCACACUGGGACUGAGACACGGCCCAGACUCCUACGGGAGGCAGCAGUGGGGAAUUUUGGACAAUGGGCGCAAGCCUGAUCCAGCCAUGCCGCGUGCGGGAAGAAGGCCUUCGGGUUGUAAACCGCUUUUGUCAGGGAAGAAACGCGCUGGGUUAAUACCUCGGCGUAAUGACGGUACCUGAAGAAUAAGCACCGGCUAACUACGUGCCAGCCGCCGCGGUAA
rnacentral:rRNA from 1 species